rnacentral:rRNA from 1 species
AUACGUAGGGGGCGAGCGUUGUCCGGAAUGAUUGGGCGUAAAGGGCGCGUAGGCGGCCCGGUAAGUCUGGAGUGAAAGUCCUGUUUUUAAGAUGGGAAUUGCUUUGGAUACUGUCGGGCUUGAGUGCAGGAGAGGUAAGUGGAAUUCCCAGUGUAGCGGUGAAAUGCGUAGAGAUUGGGAGGAACACCAGUGGCGAAGGCGACUUACUGGACUGUAACUGACGCUGAGGCGCGAAAGUGUGGGGAGCAAACAGGAUUAGAUACCCUGGUAGUCCACACUGUAAACGAUGAAUGCUAGGUGUAGGGGGUAUCGACCCCUUCUGUGCCGCAGUCAACACAAUAAGCAUUCCGCCUGGGGAGUACGGCCGCAAGGUUGGAACUCAAAUGAAUUGACGGGG